rnacentral:rRNA from 1 species
CGGGGGAUAACGACCUGGAAACAGAUGCUAAUACCGGAUAACAACAGAUGAUGCCUAUCAACUGUUUAAAAGAUGGUUCUGCUAUCACUCUUGGAUGGACCUGCGGUGCAUUAGCUAGUUGGUAGGGUAACGGCCUACCAAGGCGAUGAUGCAUAGCCGAGUUGAGAGACUGAUCGGCCACAUUGGGACUGAGACACGGCCCAAACUCCUACGGGAGGGCAGCAGGG